AACCGCACCGGUGGCCUAGUGGUUAGAGGGUCCGCCUCGAAUGCGGGAGGUCGUGGGUUCAAUCCCCUGUCGAGUUA